rnacentral:rRNA from 1 species
AGUGAACGCUGGCGGUAGGCCUAACACAUGCAAGUCGAACGGCAGCACAGUAAGAGCUUGCUCUUACGGGUGGCGAGUGGCGGACGGGUGAGGAAUACAUCGGAAUCUACUUUUUCGUGGGGGAUAACGUAGGGAAACUUACGCUAAUACCGCAUACGACCUACGGGUGAAAGCAGGGGAUCUGGACCUUGCGCGAUUGAAUGAGCCGAUGUCGGAUUAGCUAGUUGGCGGGGUAAAGGCCCACCAAGGCGACGAUCCGUAGCUGGUCUGAGAGGAUGAUCAGCCACACUGGAACUGAGACACGGUCCAGACUCCUACGGGAGGCAGCAGUGGGGAAUAUUGGACAAUGGGCGCAAGCCUGAUCCAGCCAUACCGCGUGGGUGAAGAAGGCCUUCGGGUUGUAAAGCCCUUUUGUUGGGAAAGAAAAGCAGCAGGUUAAUACCCCGCUGUUCUGACGGUACCCAAAGAAUAAGCACCGGCUAACUUCGUG